GUUAGUAGGAAUUGUGGGAUUAAUGCAUUUGUUGAUUAGAUAAUUAUGAUUAUUUUAAACGAUAUAUAGGCAUAUCUAACUAGUUUAACAAAAUUUUACAUGUGUUGAUAAAUAGUGCCAAUAAAUUGGGAAAAGUGUGUAUUUUGCCUGAUGGAAAAUCAGGGCCACGUGAAGGCACUAUGCAAGAAGUUUGAAAGUGGAGAGAUCAGUGCAGGUAGUAAAAAUUCGAAGAAAAGAAGACAUAAAUUUAAUGGAAAAUUGGUCACAAGAUCAAUAGAAACAUAUAAACAAUUACCGGAUGAUAAAAUAGACUCAAAAUGCAGGUCGUCAUCAACUGAAGAACCAAGUUUAAUUGCUACAAAAACAUCAACCGAAAUUGAAAAACGAAGAAAGAAAAUAUUAAGAAAAUUUGAUGAAGGAGUUGCGAAUAUGAAAAUGGAUAAAUUUAUUAAGGACGACGACACUGAUGUUAUUGAUGAUGAUAUUGGUGGUGAAAUAGAUAAUAUUGAAUAUACGAGUACUAACAAUAAUAUAGAACCAACAGAUGGAUUGCAGAAAAAUAUCAACAAGAUCAACAAAAGCGACAAAGAUAAUAACAAUAUUUUAGAAGAUGGAAAUAUUAAUCUAUCAGUAUCUCCUGACUUAAAAAAGGUAGAACUUAACAAAUUAGCAAAUUUAAAUUAUUCAGAAGAGCUAAAUUAUGAUCAUAUUUAUGAAUACUCUCCAAUACUAAUUGAAGAGAAAUUGAAGUUUAUAUUCCCCGAUACAAAUGCAUCGUCUGGGUCUUCUUUACCAAAUGUAGCGACUGAAGUAAGACAAGCAAUUCCGAGGCAAUCAACGAGGUUAACACCAGAAAAGAGGUUACAUUAUAUCGCAAAGGAGAUAGUGGAAACAGAAACCACAUAUUGUGAGGAAUUAUCAAAACUCGUAAUGUUAUAUAAACCAUAUAUUGAGAAAAACGCACCCCAUGAUAAGAAAUAUCUUCUGAAGUAUCUGUUUGGAAAUAUUCAUGAUAUAUAUUUUAAACAAGUGCGAUUUUUAACGGCCAUUCAAGACAGCCGGAUGGACAUUGACAAGAUAUUACAUUCUUUUAUUGAUGAAGGAACUCUCUUCGAACUAUAUCCACCAUAUUUUAUUAAUAGACGUAAAGCAGAAGGUGUUAUUAAGGAAUUUGACCAUCUCCUUAAAGGACUUCACGAAUAUUACAACACAUCUGUGGAAUUCACAGCUUACCUCCUAUUACCUCUCAACAGAUUAUCAAAAUAUGUUCUAUUUUUGAAAGAUAUUUUAAAACAGUUAAAAAAACUGGAGAGACCUACCGAAGUAUGUCAAAUUGCAUUGGAUAUCGUUGAAACUCAAAUGCGCAAUGGAAAUGAUGGAAUAGCAAUUGACUCAAUUAAAAAUUGCCCACUAAAAAGAACUGAUUACGGAUAUUUUAAGCAAAGGGAGAGGUUUAACAUUUCUAACAAAUAUAAAAAAGAAGCGUUUGUUUUCCUAUUUGAAAACGUUGUGGUUUUUACUACUGCUGAUCCAUAUGAGUUGGAAACAUUUAACUAUGAAGGUAGUAUCAAUAUGAAGGACUUAUCAAUGGAAUCCGUAAAAGAUUUAACUAUAACUCUAAAAGACUUCGAGAAAUGUAAAAAUAGUAAAGAUCCCAAAGAAUUUACUUAUAUUUUGGAAGCAAAAAAUAUAAACAUCUGGAGUGUUUGGAAAAGGGAUCUUGAAAUAAUGUUAUGGGAACAACUUUCGGAUGCUAAAGCUACAACUCCAACCCUUAGUUCCUCUGUGAGUUUAAUAGAUAUCAAUACUCUUAAGACAAGGUUAGAUAAAGAUAAACAAGAACAACCAAUCGAUAAUUUCUCAUGCUCUGAUGCAAACUCCAUUCUAAGUAGCCCUAUAAGCAAAGGUGAAUUUGGAUAUUUCAAGGCAAAAGCAAAAUUCUUAUUGACCAAACCUGUUAAACAGGAUGUAGUGGUCUUGUUAUUCGAGAAUUAUGUUAUAAUUACUUUUGAGGAUGCGACUAAUACUAAUUUUUAUCAUUACUACAAUAGCAUAAAAAUGACCAAUUUACUGAUGACUUACGAGGACGAUAAUAGAAUACAGUUAAUGGAUUUUGCUAAAAGUAAAGAGAAAGUUAUAACUUCGAAUUAUACGUAUGUUAUAAAAGCGUUGAAUAAAGCAACCUGGGAAUUGUGGAAGAAAAUGUUGGGCAGUUUGUUACUGGAUCAAUUUUUUCAAAAUAGAGAGCGACAUGGUACUACAGACCCGACACCAACCCGUAGCUUAUCGUUUUCAGUCAAAAGUCAAAAUAGUGAAGAGGAAAAUCAAAAAAUUUCAAGUCCCAUUCCAAGCCUUCGAUCAACAAAGAAUGAAAAUGAUAGAAAACUAGAAGACGCUGAAAUUUAUGUAAAUGAUUCGAUACUACCGACAUCAAACACCAUAAUUAAGGCACUUAAUUCAGAAUUUACGAGAACCUUACCAAAUCCCCGUUCAGUAAAAGGUGAUAAAGACAAAAAACUAAAAGAAGUUGCAAGUCCCUUGCCAAAUCCCCGUUCAAGAAAGGAUGACAACGAUAGAAAACUAGAAGAAGUUACUAGUCCUCUACCUAAACCUUCAACAAAGGACAUCAAAAUGGAUGGAGGCUACAUGAAUCUAUCACCAAUUCCAAACAUACCAUCAAGGAGCACAAAACCUCAAGAAAUUAAAUCAGAGUUGGGUCCAUCAAUUCCGCCCUUACCUAGAUCUAGGACGGUUUCUGAAGAUAAUUCUAGUCAAACAGAAAAUCAGGAAAAGAUUUCGAUUAAUUAUAUGAACCUACCACCAGUUCCUCCGAGAUUACUAAACGAUGGCGCAAAAACAAAAGAAGACAUUUAUAUGAAUCAACCUCAACUUCCACCUAGAUUAAAAAAAGACGAUGUAAAAAUAAAAGAAGUUUCUAUGAAUUUCAUGAAUUUGCCACCUGUACCUCCCAGGCUAAUAAAAGAUAACGAAAAAGCAUCAUCAAUAUUGCCCUUAUCAAUUCCCCGAAAAUCUGUAAAAAAUAAUUUGGAUUCCCGAGAAGAUCAGGAAACUGAAUAUGGCUAUCUGGAAAAUAUCAUGCCAACUCCAAGUAGAAAUGUUGAAAGAAAAGCCAGCUUAAAAGAACUUAACGAUAUACAUGCAACAUAUGAAAUGGAAGAAGCAUCAAGUAAUACAAAUAUAACAACACCAAUCGUCAAAAAAGAUUUGCUAACGAAAGAAAAUGAAUUUGAAAUUAGCCAAUUGAUUACAAAUAUUCCAAUUAAUAAUAUAGACCUUGGACCAUUCCAGAAAAAACAAUUAUUUACAAUUUUGGAACCUAUUAAGAGUGAAGGAAUAUUAUUUUUGUUUAAAAAUUUGCUUAUUAUAACGACAGUGGAUGAUAUAAGCGAAAAUGUUCGGUAUCACAGUAGUAUAGAAGUCAUGAAUUUGAACGUAACAUUUCCCGAAGAAAAUAAGAUAUGCUUAAAAGAUUUCUCAGAAUACUCAAAUUUGGACAAACACUCGCAGACCAGCUGUCUGCUAGCUGUAGAAAGUUCAGAAAUAUGGAAGGAAUGGAAAAGUAUAUUUGAAAAUGUUACACAAACUCGCAUAGAAAGUCGAACAGGAACCUUAAGAAAACCACCACUGCCACUUCCUAGAAUCAGUAGUCGUACGAAUAGCACAGAUAAUGGGACAGAACAUCAGCAGUCUUCAGAAAUAAAUCCGAGUUCUACUGGAGAAAUUUACUCAGAUCUAAAUGGUGAAGACUCAAGUGAAGACAUUUAUGCAGUUUCAGAUAACGAAGCGGUUCCUCCUCAAUUACCUCCUAGACUAAUAACUCUGGAUGAUAAAAAGGAAACUCCACCAUUACUUCCAGCUAGAGUUACACAACUAGCUAGUAGCAAGACAGCUCCUGCGGCGACUAAGAGUGAGAAAGAUGAUGUAUCGAAUCGUCCCAUAUCUUUAGAAAUGGAUUUCGGAAUUUUGAUCCAAAAGAGUCCAAUAGACAUGAAAUUCUACGGCGAUUUUCAAAUGAUGGAGAAAUUUAAAAUCAAGAAACCUUUUAAAAUGGAAUGUGUAGUGUUCCUUUUUAAGUCUAUCAUCAUUUUUACGUUUAGUGAAGAGGUAUCUUCUCAAUCUACGUUUUUUAUUAAUGACAAUAAACAUCCACAAUAUUGUUAUUACGAUUGUAUUUUCACGAAAGAUGUAAGAGUAUGUUGUUUAGAUGACCAUACACUAGAGCUUACAGAUUUUACGAAAAUAAAUGAAACAAAGAACGCUGCCAAAUAUACAUUUAUUUUGGAGUCAAAGAAAAAGGGCAUCAUACAAAAAUGGAACUCUGCUAUUGAAGAUAUAUUGUGGUAUGAAUGGAAAGUUACCAAAGACAUUUUGUUACAAUUUCCCAAUGUCAUUACCGAAAAUAAGAUUCAGGACGUAGAUGAUGAUAAUAGAUGGACAGAGAAAUGAAACUAUUAAAUACCAGAUUUAAAUAAGGAAAUCUUCAUAUAAUUGGUUUGGAGAAUUUUCAAAAUUAUUGUAACGCUCGGUUUCAUAAUCAGAUUUUUAAAUUUUAAAAAACGCACAAAAACUAAUCAGAAGUAAAACAUCUGUAUCAAGUUCGGGUAAAAAGUUAAAAUCUUCGGAUUUAAAAAACCAAAUCAAAACUUAUACAAAUGAACAAAUACAAUCAAUAAAAUAUAGUGGCCUCAAAAAACAUGAUUAUGGAAUGUUUAAAAUGAAGUCAACUUUUUACAUUAUGGAACCCAUCGAAGCACAGGGCCUAGUUUUCCUC
rnacentral:misc_RNA from 1 species